CCUUGCAACAAAUUAAACAGCUGAGGCAGGGACUGCAAGAGUCGAUGUUAUGGCCACUGUUGGGAGGCCAGGCUAGAUGUAGUACCAGUGGUUUUCACACAUCAAUCAAUGGCUGAAUCCAGUGCUCGGGCAACAUCAUCUGGCCUGAGGAAGGGGAAAAGGAGGAUGACGAUGGAUGACCUGUUGCCAUCAGAUGCAAAACUGCUGGCAGCAGUUUGUGGAGACAGAGCCCUCUGACGCAGUGGUUCUAACAGCUUGAGCACAGAGUCUGGACCAAAACUGAGAAAAAGAGGCAAGCAGGAGGUCAGCAACGGCAGAUCAGUCCAAACAAGCUAUAAU